rnacentral:lncRNA from 1 species
CCUCUCACGGAAUCCGUUACAAUGCCUCUGGGAUUCACCAAGUCAGUCUCAAAGAGCACCCGGCGCUGCGUGCCGUCCAGCUUCGCCACUUCUAUUCGAUCCAGGUUAGAGUCUGUCCAGAAGAUGUUGCGGCCAAGGUGAUCAACAGCGAUACCUUCUGGACUUCCAAGAUCUUGUCUAAUGAUGGUGGUUGGCUCUCCACCAUGUAGACUAGCUCUCCCAAUGGAAGGCUCAGUGAUGUCCGUCCAGUAAACCAUCUUGUCCACGCAGUCAAAGGCCAGUCCAAUGAUGACUUUAGCCUGGAUGUGAAGACCAGUGGUUAGAAUGGUC